rnacentral:rRNA from 1 species
UACAGAGGGUGCUAGCGUUGUUCGGAAUUACUGGGCGUAAAGGGCGCGUAGGCGGUCUGCUAAGUUCGGUGUGAAAUCCCCUGGCUCAACUGGGGAACUGCGCUGGAAACUGGCAGACUCGAGUACCGGAGAGGAGAGUGGAAUUCCUGGUGUAGCGGUGAAAUGCGUAGAUAUCAGGAGGAACACCGGUGGCGAAGGCGGGUCUCUGGGCAGUAACUGACGCUGAGGAGCGAAAGCGUGGGGAGCGAACAGG